GACGAACGCUGGCGGCGUGCUUAACACAUGCAAGUCGAACGGAAAGGCCCUGCUUUUGUGGGGUGCUCGAGUGGCGAACGGGUGAGUAACACGUGAGUAACCUGCCCUUGACUUUGGGAUAACUUCAGGAAACUGGGGCUAAUACCGGAUAGGAGCUCCUGCUGCAUGGUGGGGGUUGGAAAGUUUCGGCGGUUGUGGAUGGACUCGCGGCUUAUCAGCUUGUUGGUGGGGUAGUGGCUUACCAAGGCUUUGACGGGUAGCCGGCCUGAGAGGGUGACCGGCCACAUUGGGCCUGAGAUACGGCCCAGACUCCUACGGGAGGCAGCAGUGGGGAAUAUUGCACAAUGGGCGGAAGCCUGAUGCAGCAACGCCGCGUGCGUGAUGACGGCCUUCGGGUUGUAAACCGCUUUCGCCUGUGACGAAGCGUGAGUGACGGUAAUGGGUAAAGAAGCACCGGCUAACUACGUG
rnacentral:rRNA from 1 species